CCUACGGGAGGCAGCAGUGAGGAAUAUUGGUCAAUGGACGAGAGUCUGAACCAGCCAAGCAGCGUGAAGGAUGACUGCCCUAUGGGUUGUAAACUUCUUUUAUAAAGGAAUAAAACGAGGCACGUGUGCCUUUUUGCAUGUACUUUAUGAAUAAGGAUCGGCUAACUCCGUGCCAGCAGCCGCGGUAAUACGGAGGAUCCGAGCGUUAUCCGGAUUUAUUGGGUUUAAAGGGAGCGUAGAUGGGUUGUUAAGUCAGUUGUGAAAGUUUGCGGCUCAACCGUAAAAUUGCAAUUGAUACUGGCAGUCUAGAGUACAGUUGAGGUAGGCGGAAUUCGUGGUGUAGCGGUGAAAUGCUUAGAUAUCACGAAGAACCCCGAUUGCGAAGGCAGCUUACUAAACUGUGACUGACAUUGAUGCUCGAAAGUGUGGGUAUCAAACAGGAUUAGAUACCCUAGUAGUC
rnacentral:rRNA from 1 species